UACGUAGGUGGCAAGCGUUGUCCGGAUUUACUGGGCGUAGAGAGCGCGCAGGCGGUCGUUCAAGUCGCGUGUGAAAGCCCCCGGCUCAACUGGGGAGGGUCACGCGAUACUGAUCGACUCGAAGGCAGGAGAGGGUAGUGGAAUUCCCGGUGUAGUGGUGAAAUGCGUAGAUAUCGGGAGGAACACCAGUGGCGAAGGCGACUUCCUGGCCUGUUCUUGACGCUGAGGCGCGAAAGCUAGGGGAGCAAACGGG
rnacentral:rRNA from 1 species